rnacentral:rRNA from 1 species
AUUGAACGCUGGCGGCAUGCUUUACACAUGCAAGUCGAGCGGCAGCGCGGGCUUCUUCCUUGCGUCGAGUUGCGAACGGGUGAGUGAGUCAUCGGAACGUACCCUGUAUUUGGGGAUAGCCCGGCUAAAGCCGGCUUAAUACCACAUACGACCUUAUGUUGAAAGCGGUGGACCGAAAGUCCUCGCGGUAUUUGAUGUGCCCAUGCCGGAUUAGCUAGUUGGUUUGGUAAGGGCUUACCAAGGCGACGAUCCGUAGCUGGCCUGAGAGGACGACCGGCCACACUGGAACUGAGACACGGCCCAGACUCCUACGGGAGGCAGCAGUGGGGAAUUUUGGACAAUGGGCGCAACCCUGAUCCAGCAAUGCCGCGUGAGGGAUGAAGGUCUUCGGAUUGUAAACCGCUUUUGUUAGGGAAGAAAACAUGUGGGAUAAUACCCCGGGGGGAUGACGGUACCGAAACAAUAAGCACCGGCUAACUACGUG